rnacentral:tRNA from 1 species
GCCCCUGUAGCGCAAUGGAUAGCGCGUUAGAUUUCUAUUCCAAAGGUCGUGGGUUCAAAUCCCCCCUGGGAAUGCU